AGGGACUUAGAAUGAGGUGGAGAG
rnacentral:siRNA from 1 species